rfam:Ictidomys tridecemlineatus contig050458, whole genome shotgun sequence.
UGGGGUAUAGCUCAGUUGGUAGAGUGCUUGCCUUGUAAUCACAAGGCCCUGGGUUCUAUCCCCAGCACCACAC